UUUGCAACGUAGAAAACAACUUAAGAAACAGAGGCGGACAACGAAAACUGAGAGAUUGUUAGGAACAGUGCGGCGAACGUGCGCGGACAGCCGACAUUUUGGAUCUGACGAGUAAAAACGAGGAGAACAAGGGAAGGUGCUUUUAAAGACUUAUGCAAAAGGAAAACAGCUGAGAGGGAUUAUGAGUACCAGUAUUGCUAGUUGAAAAACAUGAGAGGAGGUGCAGAGUGCACAAGAACUGGGAUCGGAACUAUACAGUGAUUUG